ACCUAUGAAGACUUAUUAUUACCUGUUAGAUAGUGACUUGUUAUACUCCUUAACUGACUUAAAUUGAACCCAAAAUUAAUAGCCAUAAUAGGCUGGGAUGAGCAUUUGGAAUGAACUGCAAUGAUCUCUAAGAUUUGGCAAUAAUGCCAAAUAACCCCUAAAAUUUGAGAAAAUGAAAAGGUCUUCCCCUGUUGUAACGGAUGAUUAAUCAAGCAAGGUUAAGAAAGUAAAAACACAUGAA
rnacentral:lncRNA from 1 species